rnacentral:lncRNA from 10 species
AAAAAAGACAGAAAUUUUCAGAUUGGAUAAGAAAAGCAAGACCCAAUUACACACUGCUCACAAGAAAUCCACUUUAAAUAUGAAAACACAAAUGGGUUGGUUAAAAGAGGAUAGAAAAGACAUACCAUACUAAUGUCAAUCAAGGAACGUGAGAGUGGCUAUAUUCAUUCCAAAUUCCAGAGGAAAAACAGCAACAAGGAAAAACAGGGCCAUUCCAUAAAAAAUUACUAGCCAGGUACACCUCAAAAAGUACAAAAGGAAUUUGACAACCAAAUGAACUACAAAAACGGUUUCCAGGGAUUCUAAUGCCCUAUGUUGUUGUCCCAUCACUGGUAAAUGCUUACUGGUUAAAAGAUAAAACACAUCAACGCAAAGUCAUACUUGACUAACGGUAAAUUAGGAUUAUGACUUUUAAAGUCAAACAAUAAUACUUUAAGGCCACUAGACUAUCAGUCUACUAGUGGCAAGAAUGGUUGACUCCUCUGCCUCUGGGAAAAUCCUAUUUUUAAGAAAAUCAGAAUCAGUAUUUAAAAUGUACUAAUCACUGACAAGUACCUAGUGACAUUUAAAGAAUAAUUUUCUGGAAACUCCUAGCCUACAUUUCUAAGACCCAGUAGAAGGGCUCUAUAAUAAUUAUACAGAGUCCUUGGGAACUUAUGUUCUUACGUGGAUUGUUUUAGGCUACUUAUUUUCCUUCCUUUUUUUCCCCAACUUUUAAUUUAUCAAAGAGUUUCCUUUAAACCUUCUCUCUUAAGACUUUCAUUGCUCAAGUUUUACAAAAGACAUAAGGUCAGCAGUUUUGAAUAAUAUAAAUACUCCAAAAUCAAUGUCUACUGCUAAAUGCAGAAAAUUCUCCUUGGUUAAAGUUUUACAAACAUUUCAAGUCUUAAAAAUUAGGAUCUAUGUUUUAAAUAUUACUUUGAGUUAAUACAGAUGUCCAAAUUAAUCAUAAGAAAUAUGCUGGUCCUCGGCCGGGCGCGGUGGCUCACACCUGUAAUCCCAGCACUUUGGGAGGCCGUAAUCCCAGCUACUCGGGAGGCUGAGGCAGGAGAAGCACUCGAACCUGGGAGGUGGAGGUUGCAGUGAGCCGAGAUCGUGCCACUGCAUGCCAGCCUGGGUGACAGAGCAAGACUCCGUCUCAAAAAAAAAAAAAAAGCAAGCAAGAAAUAUGCUGGUCCUUCAUAUUCAGACCCUUAAUAAAAAUAGGAGGAAAAAACUAUAAUCCUAAGUUGUUUUUCUCCACAUACUACAAUAUAGAACUAGUAAAGACAGGCUAAGUGGAACAGAAGGUAAAACUUGCUAGAAUAAGACCAUACUUCUAUGAGAGUAAUAGAAUUUCUUACGCUAGGCAGAGAGCUUUGUUGGAAUCCUGCCCUUUCUCACAUGCUAGGGUUGUUUUCCUUAAGAAACUCUCACACACACUAACCCACUCGGACUGAAAAGCCUGAACCGCAACGUCCAUCUCCUCUGCAGAGAAGGUGUGUGGAAAGAGGUAGCA